rnacentral:tRNA from 1 species
GUCCCCGUAGUGUAGCCUGGAUAGCACGUAACCUUGCGGAGGUUGAGACUCAGGUUCGAAUCCUGGCGGGGACG